CCCAUGAGCAGAUAAUUAUACAGAACAAGGGUGUGAGCAGCCUCAGCUGACACUGGUUAAAGGAAGUGAAUAAAAAGUGCUUUGAGGGCACAGGCUGCUGUUUUGUUGAGGAAGGUUAAGGGCUAACUUGUCUGAAGUUGCAAGAGGACCAAUGCUGCUUUCCAUGACCUGCUGUUGCUGUAUGCUUCAGGGAAUUCAGAACAACCUAUUGCCCCAUGCUGCAAUGAUUUCUGGUUGUCCAAGCUCUUUCUCCAGACGAGUUGAGGACAUUGCACAGAAAGAGUUCUAUCUGACAGCAAGUGCUUGGCCUUCCUGUGAGAGCUGACCUGUGGUUAAGGGAUUCCAGUGCUUAAGAAAAACCACCAGCGAGUGCCUGACUCCCAGUGCCACCACAGACUGGCAGGGCAGUCUGGUUGCAACCUUCUGAGGGGGUUAAUCCACAAUAUCUCUAGUGGAUGUUGCUUUGGAGCCUGUUCUGUGUUAGGGCUUUCUGAGGACAACUUCUGCCUUGCUGUAGGAUGCCCUGGUUCCAGCAGCCCUGUUUGUGCCCACUGGAUGGUUACGGCUGCCUGAGCACACGGAGGUUGGGAGACCUUGGCAGAAGGAUGUUUGUCUGAUGUAUUUACCCAGGAGCAGAUGAGCUCAUUGCAGGCAUCUGCCCAGCAGCCAUCAUGCUGCCUGCAUGGUUCCUUAGGAUAUUAAUUAACAGCAGUGCAGAAAAUGUGGUGCCUCUUCUGCACUGUCUUCUCCUGUGAGGAGGCUGAAAUUUUAGGCACUUUCCAAAACAUAAAGCAAUAAGUCGGUCUUAAUGUGGUCUUUCCUUUGCAUAGUAUCUUGCUCUUACUCAGCUCUGGCAGAUACCUGGUCUGCUCUUCCAGCCCCUUGCUUCUGCACUGUACCCAAAAGCUGUUCCAAUUUUCUUACCUCCCCGUAAGGUUUCCUUUCAUUUGCUUCUGUUGCUUUUCUUAUCACUUUUUAUGCUUUCAACUUCAUUAUGCAAUUGUUCCAACCGUGUUCAGUAUUUGAUGUUUUAUAACUCGUGUCUGCCUCUUUCCCCCAUUGUUGAUUACUUUUACACUUCUGUUCCUUCACACUGGCUUUAAAAAUAAAAUACAAAAAAACAACUUGAACAUUCCUUGUGCAAUUACUGUGAGGUGUUGCGCGUAACCCUUGGGCAUACAUUAAUUUCUUCGAACACCUAUUUCCUGUGUCCUUUCUCUCCCUGGCUUGUAUUGAAUUUCCACCUGCACUUACUGAGUCUCUAAACUUUACUCUGCUAAAAUGUAAUCUACCUUUUUAACUUUUAGUUGAAUAUUAAUCCUAGUGAAUUCCUUAAAGACUGCGGUCCUGAUUCUUCCCCACACCUGCACCACCAGCCAUGUCACAGAAGCCUUGCUUAAGAAUUACUCCUGACAAAAAAAGCCAUCACUUUUUUCAAGCUUCUUAUAAUGAAAAUGAUACUUUCAGCCAGGCCAACUGUAAGACUGCACAGUAAGGAAAUAUUUUUUUCCCAGCAUCCACAAAUUCAAUGGAAAACUGGGAGUGGGAGCAGAUCAGGUGCAGCACUGGCUCCUCCUUGCCAGGCAUGGAGGAGUGAAGCAGCAGGAACACUGGGGAGGUUCACAUUGAUCCAUGACUCAUGGGACUCACGCUAAAUAGUGAGUUUCCUGAGGUGCUGAAUUGUUGAAGGUGUUCAGUGAGGGAUGCUCUACAAAAUCAGUGUAGAGUCCAGCUUUUCAUCAACACAGGAGGGAACAGAUCUAUAUACUAGAGACCUGAGAGCUGUCUUCUGCAUAUGAUUUCAGCUUCUCCAGUGAGAAGUCUUCUGCAGAGUGAUUUCAGCACUGCCCAUGCAUGGCUGUGGUCUGUCAGAAAUACCCCCAUGAGGUGAGGAGAGAUGUCCUGGCCAUGGCAGUGUCCCUAACAAGUCUGCUGAAAGGCACCUGUGUGGGAUGGGAUUGAGGUCACCCAGGGCAGCAUCCAUCACAGAAUGAUGGGCAGAUGUCACCAUGCAGGGGGACAGCCUGGGGGGAGUCACACCAGCAGGAGAAAUAAACUGCCCAGAUGUGGGUGGUAGAGCAAGGAGUGGAGAAGAGGAUUUCCUGUCCCCAUAAUGUAUAGCUGUGAAUGAAGAAAAAUGCAGUGGUAUGUGCAGCAAGUGGGAAAGGAGAUGGGUCCCUGAAGAAAGGGAGAGUGGCUGUUGUGCACCUGCGGUCUUGACUUUUCCACCAAUUUCCUUCAAAAGCCACCUUUGGUAAGCAUGGGGUCUACUUGGUGGUCAACAGAGGACUUGAAACACCUCAAGCGAAUUCUGGAUUUCCAGGCAUAAGAAUUACUUCCUGGAAAUCAUCAGUUAUUACCAUUAAAUGUACCUCUCUGUAGACAAUUACUAAUGCAUAUGAAAUUGUAUCAGUGUUGAAACUUUCUGAAUGUAUUUUUCCUGUUCUUCUAUAGCUUUUAUCUUGUGUUAUUGUAUGUAAUUAACACAUCUAAUAACAUAUAGACUUUAAGUGACCUUGUUAAUGUCAUGGCUUAUGAAGUUUGUUUUCAUGUAAUGUUUUCCUCUAUUGAAUAAUCACAUUAAUUUAUAGUAAAUUCUGAGUACAUGUAUUUUGUA